ACGAUUACAAUAUUACGGUCAUGUCCCGCGAACGUGGGGAUAACUUUAGCAAAGACCCUUCGGUAAAAUCAUCAUAGUCCCUCGGAUGUUGCCUUCGAAAUUACGAUUUUGUCCCUCGAUGACCCUUCGGUGUGGCCUACGGUUAAAUGAUGAUAGUCCCUUCGAAUGCUAAGGUAUCCUCACAACUGUUGCCUUCAAUGACCUAUCGAUGACCCUACGAUGACCCUUAUACAUCCCCAGGAUAAAACUACUUGCUUCUCAAUAGUAAGGACAGUUUUACCCUCAUAAGGAUGGGAAAUGCCCAGAAAGACCUCGGACAGGUAUAACCUUAAUUGCUCAUUCAUACCAAAAAAUGCUUUUCACACCCCACACCUUUCAAACGUCUUCUUUUGGAAAAUCACCACUUAGCAUACAUCCGUACUAGGAUCAUUGCCAAGUUAUAUUUUUCUAAACUACUUUCAAAAAACUAAAUGAGAUAACCACUUUGUAUACAUUCAUGCAAGAAUCAUUACAAAGUUAAAUUCUCCUUUUCAAAACAUUUUUCAUACAUUUCUCAACCACCUUUUUCAAACAAAGAAAACAUAAAUGAUUGAGCAAUUAAGAGCCCAUGGAUAACCAUGGAUAC
rnacentral:lncRNA from 1 species